GGUUAGGGUUAUAGGGGGAGUUACACAGGGUUAGGGUUAUAGGGGGGAGUUACGCAGGGUUAGGGUUAUAGGGGGAGUUACACAGGGUUAGGGUUAUAGGGGGAGUUACGCAGGGUUAGGGUUAUAGGGGGAGUUACGCAGGGUUAGGGUUAUAGGGGGAGUUACGCAGGGUUAGGGUUAUAGGGGGAGUUACACAGGGUUAGGGUUAUAGGGGGAGUUACACAGGAUUAGGGUUAUAGGGGGAGUUACACAGGAUUAGGGUUAUAGGGGGAGUUACACAGGGUUAGGGUUAUAGGGGGAGUUACAUAGGGUUAGGGUUAUAGGGGGAGUUACCCAGGGUUAGGGUUACAGGGGGAGUUACACAGGGUUA